UGUUGUUUGGCUUCUUUUAUAUAUCAUUAGACUAUUCUUACAGGAUUUUGCUGUCAAGAUUAUGCUGGCCUUAAAAAAUAAGCUGACUAUCAUUGUCUGCUCUCUGGAAGUAUUUGGCACAUCAGCUUUUUCCUGCCUUCGGACUUGCACUGAAACACUGGCUACUCCUGGGUCUCAAGCCUGCCUGCUUUCAGACUGGAACCAUAUUAUCAAGUAUAACAUUGGCUCUCCUGGGCCUCCUGCUUGCUAACUCACCGUGCAAAUCUUGGGAUGUGCCGGCCUCCAUAAUAUAUAGAUAGAUAUGUCCUAUUAGUCCUAUUUCUCUGAGGAACCCUGACUUAUACAAUUGGAUAUAGGAAUAUUCAGAUAUUCUAUUUCUUUCAGCAUCAUUGUUGACAGGUUGCGUUUUUCUAUCAAUUUGCCCAUCUUAUUUGAUUUUUCAACUUAUUGGCAAAAACUUAAUAAUACUAUCUUAUGUGUUUGUAACAACAACUGUAGUGAUGUUCCCAUUUUACAAGUAUUAUUAGAAAUCCUCUCUCUCUGGCUGGGUGUGGUCAGAUAAUUAUCUAUUACAGGCUCAGGCCUAUAAUCCCAACACAUUGGGAGGCUGAGAUAGGUGGAUUACUUGAGCCCAGGAGUUCGAGACCAGCCUGAGCAACAUGCCAAAACCCUGUCUCUGUGAAAAAUACAAAAAAUUAGCCAAAGGUGGUGCCUGGUGCCUGUAGUUCAAACUACCUAGGUGGCUGAGAUGGGAGAGUCACCUGAGCCUGGGAGGCUGAGGCUGCAGUGAGCUGUGAUUGUGCCACUGCACUCAAGCCUGGGCAACAGAGUAAGACUCCGUCUCAAAAAAAAAAAAAUCUUCUUUCUCUAGCUCUAUAUGCUCAGUCUUUCCAGAGGUUUAGCCUUCUUAUUAACUAUUUAAAAU
rnacentral:lncRNA from 1 species